rnacentral:rRNA from 1 species
AGCGAACGCUGGCGGCAGGCUUAACACAUGCAAGUCGAGCGGGCGUAGCAAUACGUCAGCGGCAGACGGGUGAGUAACGCGUGGGAGCAUACCUUUUGGUUCGGAACAACACAGGGAAACUUGUGCUAAUACCGGAUAAGCCCUUACGGGGAAAGAUUUAUCGCCGAAAGAUUGGCCCGCGUCUGAUUAGCUAGUUGGUGAGGUAACGGCUCACCAAGGCGACGAUCAGUAGCNGGUCUGAGAGGAUGAUCAGCCACAUUGGGACUGAGACACGGCCCAAACUCCUACGGGAGGCAGCAGUGGGGAAUAUUGGACAAUGGCGAAAGCCUGAUCCAGCCAUGCCGCGUGAGUGAUGAAGGCCCUAGGGUUGUAAAGCUCUUUGUGCGGGAAGAUAAUGACGGUACCGCAAGAAUAA